AAAUUGAAGAGUUUGAUCAUGGCUCAGAUUGAACGCUGGCGGCAGGCCUAACACAUGCAAGUCGAGCGGUAGCACAGAGAGCUUGCUCUCGGGUGACGAGCGGCGGACGGGUGAGUAAUGUCUGGGAAACUGCCUGAUGGAGGGGGAUAACUACUGGAAACGGUAGCUAAUACCGCAUAAUGUCGCAAGACCAAAGUGGGGGACCUUCGGGCCUCAUGCCAUCAGAUGUGCCCAGAUGGGAUUAGCUAGUAGGUGGGGUAACGGCUCACCUAGGCGACGAUCCCUAGCUGGUCUGAGAGGAUGACCAGCCACACUGGAACUGAGACACGGUCCAGACUCCUACGGGAGGCAGCAGUGGGGAAUAUUGCACAAUGGGCGCAAGCCUGAUGCAGCCAUGCCGCGUGUGUGAAGAAGGCCUUCGGGUUGUAAAGCACUUUCAGCGGGGAGGAAGGC
rnacentral:rRNA from 1 species